rnacentral:lncRNA from 1 species
CCCACACUUCAUUGUCGCGGGCGGAGCGGCUCCCCCCGAUUUAUCCCCCCGACGGCCACGCACGCCACCACCUCUUCCAGUCCCGCCGCCGCAGCCUCCACUCCUAGAUCCAAAUUCCAAAUCCGAGCUCCGAUUCGCACGCGCCGAUGAAUUUCUUCAGCUCCGUCUUCUCCGCCGCCGCCGGCGAGCGUGAGGGAGAGCGGGGAGAGGAGGGCGGGGAGGAAGCGGC